rnacentral:tRNA from 1 species
GCGGGCGUGGCGGAACUGGCAGACGCGCUGGAUUUAGGAUCCAGUGGGGUAAAACCCGUGGAGGUUCGAAUCCUCUCGCCCGCA